rnacentral:rRNA from 1 species
AUUGAACGCUGGCGGCAGGCCUAACACAUGCAAGUCGAGCGGAUGAAGGGAGCUUGCUCCUGGAUUCAGCGGCGGACGGGUGAGUAAUGCCUAGGAAUCUGCCUGGCAGUGGGGGAUAACGUCCGGAAACGGGCGCUAAUACCGCAUACGUCCUGAGGGAGAAAGUGGGGGAUCUUCGGACCUCACGCUAUCAGAUGAGCCUAGGUCGGAUUAGCUAGUUGGUGGGGUAAAGGCCUACCAAGGCGACGAUCCGUAACUGGUCUGAGAGGAUGAUCAGUCACACUGGAACUGAGACACGGUCCAGACUCCUACGGGAGGCAGCAGUGGGGAAUAUUGGACAAUGGGCGAAAGCCUGAUCCAGCCAUGCCGCGUGUGUGAAGAAGGUCUUCGGAUUGUAAAGCACUUUAGGUUGGGAAGAAGAGCAGUAAGUUAAUACCUUGCUGUUUUGACGUUACCAACAGAAUAAGCACCGGCUAACUUCGUG